rnacentral:tRNA from 1 species
GAUGAGGUGGCCGAGCAGUUAAGGUGAUAGCCUGUUAAUCCAUUGUGCUCUGCACGCGUGGGUUCGACUCCCAUCCUUGUCG